rnacentral:snRNA from 1 species
AUACUUACCUGGCUGGGGAAAUACCAUGAUUAUGAAGGUGGUUUUCCCAUGGCAAAUCUUAUCUAUUGCACUCUAGAUGUGCUGACCCCUGCAAUUUCUCCAAAUGUGGGAAACUCAGCUGCAUAAUUUGUGGUAGUGGAGGACUGUGUUCGUGCUUUCCCCAA